rnacentral:rRNA from 1 species
UACGUAGGGGGCAAGCGUUGUUCGGAAUUACUGGGCGUAAAGGGCGCGUAGGCGGCCCGCUAAGUCGAACGUGAAAGCCCCGGGCUCAGCCCGGGAAGUGCGCUCGAAACUGCGCGGCUCGAGUGCCGGAGGGGAGAGUGGAAUUCCUGGUGUAGCGGUGAAAUGCGUAGAUAUCAGGAGGAAUACCGGUGGCGAAAGCGACUCUCUGGACGGCAACUGACGCUGAGGCACGAAAGCGUGGGGAGCAAACAGG